UACGAAGGGGGCUAGCGUUGUUCGGAAUUACUGGGCGUAAAGGGCGCGUAGGCGGCACGGCAAGUCGGGAGUGAAAGCCCGGGGCUCAACCCCGGAGGGUCUUCCGAAACUGCCGAGCUAGAGUGCGGAAGAGGCAACCGGAAUUCCCAGUGUAGCGGUGAAAUGCGUAGAUAUUGGGAAGAACACCGGAGGCGAAGGCGGGUUGCUGGGCCGACACUGACGCUGAGGCGCGAAAGCCAGGGGAGCAAACGGG
rnacentral:rRNA from 1 species